rnacentral:lncRNA from 10 species
UGGGUUAGGCAAUGAUCCUAGCUCAGCAAUGUAUAAUAGAAUGAUAAUCAACUCUCCAAAAGCUUUUAUUGCAGGCUAGGGAGAAGAUGCCUGUGAGUCAGGAAAUGUGAUUGACUCCUAGGCUGGGCUCUGCCACUGAUCCCCUGGGGCAGCACUUCCUCUUUCUGGUCCUCAGUUUCCUCACCUAAUGCUGGCAUCCAGUUUUCUUGUCUUACGUUUUGGCUUUGGCAAACAGAGUCACCUGCCCCUGCUUGCAUUUAGAGGAAGACUCAUCAUUUCAUGCUGCUCUGCUCUUCUCUAGCGGGUGAGGUAUGACUCUGACUAGAUGGGUACAGAAAGCAUGGUGUGGCACCAGCAUGCUGCCUGGCACAAUGUCCUUGCUUGAUAAAAAAUGAUGGGGCAGAAUAGAUGAAUGAUUGACAAAUCCACAGACCUGGAAUUGAGUCUAGUUACCAGCCAGGAGAACAUCUGUAGAAUUCCUAGUUUAAAUCAUUUCACUCCAUUGUGCCUCGGAUCCACAAACAUUCUAGACUGUUCAUAUGUUUUCAAAUACCUGCCAUUUUCCAGAACUGUCUUAUAGGCUGCCUUAAAGAAGUGGCAUUAAACCAACACACAUCUAGCAAACUCCACUUAUGUUGGAGGACAUGAAUCUUGAUGUCUCUGUUACUGUUCUGCAAGAUUGGGCUGAUAGGGUCAAGAACACAGCAUAGGUAAUGAAAUUCUUCAACCAUCUGCAAAUCCUUACAUAUUUACAGCUUUCAGCUUCUUUUUUUCCUCUAAAAUGUUUUCUCACAACUGCCGACGAGAAGCAACACUGAUCAAUGUGGUUUUCAAUUUCUUUCUUUUCCUCCUUCCUGCCAUGCUGAGAAGGAGUCUAGUAGUCAAAUACCGAAUACAGAGGCUGCAGGUGGGAGAAGGACAGAAACAAAGAGACACCCAUACACUGGGUUUCCAGCCUUGGUCUGACCCCAGAAUUGACGAUUUUCUUCCCUCUUGCGGCUGCUCCUCAACCUGAUUCCCUUAGCAGGUUUCUGUAUUCUAGUCACUGUUCUGGCUGUCCAAGUACAAACCUCUAGUGUCUUUCAAGUGGAUCCAGAAGUUAUUUUUGAACAUUUUCUAUGUUUAGCAAAUUCACCCAAGCACAAAGCACGAAAUACAUGAAGCUGAAAAUUUUGCUUAUGCCAGAGCACUGAGGGGUAUUAUGUGUGUGUGUGUGUAUAUAUAUAUGUAAUAUAUAUAUUUUAUAUAAUUUAUAUAUAAUAUAUAAAUUAAUAUUAACAAAUGGGGAAAAUGCACAUGCAGCCUAUAAACGCUUGUUUUAAAGGGUCCUCACCUUGGCUCGCCCAUGCAACACACCAUGCUUUGCAUCUGAGUCAUCAUAGCAAGCGUGCCAGCCAGCCAGCUAGCCAAUGCUCUGUUCCAAGGAAACUCAAUUACACCUGCAUCUAUUUCAUGCAGAUGAGCUGUGGCCAUGGGAGCUCAGCGGCCUUCCACUGUGCUCUGAUGUGGACCAUGCUUCCUGUGAUAGGACCAUUUGAGAUGCACAUGAGAAAGGAAGCAUAUGGCUGUCAACAAAAAUCCCUGCGCCUUUUAAUUUAUCCCGACUUCACAGAUGGGUAACCUGAGCUUCAGAGAUGUGCCCAAGGUCAUAGAGCUAGCUUUGUUUGAAGCAGAAAGGGCCCUAGGGUUCUGACUUCCAAUUCCUGGCUGGGUCCUUUCCUGCCUGAAAAUGAAAUGUGUUAAUAACAUUUCUUGAUCCUUUCUUCUCUAUCUUGAUUGAUGCUACCUACCAUUUUCCUAUGAUGGUAUGACAACAAAUGUGCUUAUACCACUCAGCCACUCCCAAUAUACCUUAGUAAUUUUUAUAUCUUUAACUUUGUGCUUUUCAUACAAUAACUGCUGUUCCUAUAUAAACAAUACCCACUUCAAGUAGUGGAUGUGUUACUGAAGGAUUGUGAGCAAUCAGUUUUUUAAAGUUGUCUGUCUUCUCACUGAGUUAUAUUUUCUGCCAUUAUUCCUAUUUAUGAUUGGACUUAAUAAUGUCUUCUUACUCUAGUCAAAUUGAUCACCUUUGUUAUUAAUUUUCGUAGCUAUGUCCCCACUCCUAGCUUCUCUGUUAAGUAGUUAUGAAUCAGUAAAUGCUCAUUAAAUGUGCAUUAAAUCAAAUUCUUUAUAAUGGAGAGACAGAAUACUACAAUGGUCAUGAAUGGGAUUUGGAUAUUCAAUGAAACUUGUGUUUGAAUCUUGGCUUUUCCUAGAUUACGUGGGUUGCCUUAAGCAAGUUAAUUAAAAUCUCGGUAAAAUUAAGAUAAUAAUCCUCUUGGGCUUGUUGAAGUACAGCAUGAGAUAAAGGACAUAGAAACACCUAGUACAGUGUCUGACACACAUUAAGCACUCAAUAAACUUUAGGUUUUGUUAUUAAGCUGUGGUAGGCACUGUGCUAAGCUCUUGAGGACAAAAAGGAAAACGAGGUUCUUUCACUAAAUCACAUGGGGGUGACAGACCUGUAGACAAACAGUUGUAAAACGGUGUGACAUGUGCCGUAAUAGAAGCUGGCUCAAUGUGCUAAAAGGGCACAGGGAUUCAAGCAGUAAAGUCAGAUUUCACUUUCACAAGUCAAACCAUGCAUGGUCUGUGUUCUCUCUUA